rnacentral:tRNA from 1 species
AGUAAAUGCCUGAUUAAAGGGUUAUCUUGAUAGGGUAAAAUAUGUGAAUAUGCUCACUUUACUU